AUUGAACGCUGGCGGCACGCCUAACACAUGCAAGUCGAGCGGCAGCGAGACUAGUAGCAAUACUAGUUGUCGGCGAGCGGCGGACGGGUGAGUAACACGUAGGACUCUGCCCUUAAGCGGGGGAUAACCAAGGGAAACAUUGGCUAAUACCGCAUAAUCUCGAGAGAGCAAAGCUGCCCGCAAGGGUGGCACUUGAGGAGGAGCCUGCGUCCGCUUAGCUAGUUGGUGGGGUAAUGGCCUACUAAGGCGAUGAUCGGUAACUGGUCUGAGAGGACGACCAGUCACAAUGGGACUGAGACACGGCCCAGACUCCUACGGGAGGCAGCAGUGGGGAAUAUUGGACAAUGGGGGCAACCCUGAUCCAGCGAUGCCGCGUGAGUGAAGAAGGCCUUCGGGUCGUAAAGCUCUUUAGGUUGGGAAGAAGGGUAUUGGCUGAAUAAUCCAGUACUUUGACGGUACCGACAGAAUAAGCACCGGCAAACUCUGUGCCAGCCGCCGCCGUAACAC
rnacentral:rRNA from 1 species